rnacentral:rRNA from 1 species
GACGAACGCUGGCGGCGUGCCUAAUACAUGCAAGUUGAGCGCUGAAGGUUGGUACUUGUACCAACUGGAUGAGCAGCGAACGGGUGAGUAACGCGUGGGGAAUCUGCCUUUGAGCGGGGGACAACAUUUGGAAACGAAUGCUAAUACCGCAUAAAAACUUUAAACACAAGUUUUAAGUUUGAAAGAUGCAAUUGCAUCACUCAAAGAUGAUCCCGCGUUGUAUUAGCUAGUUGGUGAGGUAAAGGCUCACCAAGGCGAUGAUACAUAGCCGACCUGAGAGGGUGAUCAGCCGCAUUGGGACUGAGACACGGCCCAAACGCCUACGGGAGGCAGCAGUAGGGAAUCUUCGGCAAUGGACGAAAGUCUGACCGAGCAACGCCGCGUGAGUGACGAAGGUUUUCGGAUCGUAAAACUCUGUUGGUAGGGAAGAACGUUGGUGAGAGUGGAAAGCUCAUCAAGUGACGGUAACUACCCAGAAAGGGACGGCUAACUACGUG